AGCAGCCGCCGCGGUAAUACAGAGGGUGCGAGCGUUAAUCGGAUUUACUGGGCGUAAAGCGUGCGUAGGCGGCUUUUUAAGUCGGAUGUGAAAUCCCUGAGCUUAACUUAGGAAUUGCAUUCGAUACUGGGAAGCUAGAGUAUGGGAGAGGAUGGUAGAAUUCCAGGUGAAGCGGUGAAAUGCGUAGAGAUCUGGAGGAAUACCGAUGGCGAAGGCAGCCAUCUGGCCUAAUACUGACGCUGAGGUACGAAAGCAUGGGGAGCAAACAGGAUUAGAUACCCCCGUAGUCCCUGUCUCUUAUAC
rnacentral:rRNA from 1 species